rnacentral:sRNA from 13 species
UAUUCAAAAUUCAUUAUUUGAGUGUGGACAACAAUGCGAAUUCCUUCUUGAGAGUAGGUAUGCCGACCUUAACUUGAUUUAUUUGACCCCCAAAAAGAUUUGGAAAAGAGAAACGAUAGGAUAGAGGCGAGAGUAUAGUUUAAGAAGAAGAAGCACCAGCCAAUAGGAACUAUACUCCUCCGUCAAGAGACUGUGAUCCGCGAUAUUAAACCCGAUUCAAAUGGCGCGACCAACCACCUGAGUUGAAUCCAGCGACACCCGAAUCCGGCCCAAUAUUUUGGUUUCGGCGGAUCGUAGCUUAAUUAUCCAUGAAUCCUCGUCCAGCUAAAGCGUUACACCAAUCGUAGCACCACUAGGAGGAAUUUGCGCUUGUGCAUUGUGAGUCUGGCAACACAAUUAUUUUGCAAUUGUAAUUGUUCCUAGAACUUACACGAGCGCAAUAUUGUUUUGUUUACUGAGACGGUCAUUAUCAAUAUUUUUGAAUCGAAUAAUAUUACUACAUCUCUAAUA